rnacentral:tRNA from 1 species
GGACGCCCCGUAGCUCAGCGGCAGAGCGGGCGGCUCUGUCCCGCCUGGACGUCGGUUCGAAUCCGACCGGGAUUUU